AGCGCCGGGCCGAGCCGGGCAGGGCGGGCGCCGCGGGCACGGCCGCGGGCGCGGCGGGGAGGAGCGGGCGGGGCCGCGAGGGGCGGCCGGAGCUGCGGGCGCCCGAGCGGUGCCCCCAGCGCGGGACCGCGCCGCCGGGGCCGUAGCAUUCCGCAGAUGCCUGAAACGUGUGGAAAGCGCCGUGCGAAGAUCGCUUAGCCAAAGUUGUGCCGUGAGAAGUGCCGUGUGUUUGCUGAACGCGCUGCGCUCUGUCACUCACUGUGACGCUUGCACCAGAUUCUGUCUGCAAUAAAACUCAGCCAACCUGUACGUUUAGUACGCUCUAAGGAAAUACUUCGAUUUCAUCAACUUUUUCUAUCGGUCCCCGAGCUUUAGAAACGAAUCGGGCUGGUUCUGCUGUAAGGAAAACGCCGCAACAAGUUUAGAAAGUUCCCAAGUGGGCGAUUGUCCCCACUGCUCGUGCCCAGAAACGGGAGAGCGCUCCAAAAGCUCCCGGCAGUAUCAGAAACGGCGUUAAACCCCGCCCCGAGCUGCGGCGCUUCCCGCACGGCCCCGCAUUGGGCGCCCGCGGCUCGCGCUGCUGCCGGGCGCCUCCAUUCAUGCGCCCGUACCUGGAUUUGAAUAGAAACCAGACAGCAAUUCUUCGCUGCCAGCCACCAUUCGCCGCCGGACAAUAGCGGUCUGUUAGCGCAGGCACAGGCCGGGGGACACAAAGCUGGAGCGGCAGAGCCGGGCUGCAGCGCACAGGAAAUUACAGCUUUUGAUGCGGCGCUGCCGUCAGCGCGGGGCUGCACCGCGCCGGGCGCUCCGCACCGCCCAGCUGGCACGAAGCCGUGCGGGUACAGCCCCGCGGGCACGGCACAGCCCCGCGGACACGGCCCUGCGCCGCGCUGCAGCCCUCGCGGGCCAGAAGUCGCGCGGGGACGAGAAAAGGGAUUUGGCGGACAGAACCCCCCGCGGUUACCCGCAUACGGCAGCGGUGCGGCUGCUCGGGGCAGCGGUGGCUGCCUGGGGGCAGCCUGGAGGCUGCGUGCAGGUGUGGUAGGGACCCUGAGCUGUGGCACCUGGCAAACAGCGCAAUAAAUGAGGAAAACAAAACACUCGGUGUCCGGUGCUUCCUAUCGCCCUGCCUCUCCUAUAGUCUUGCAGAGUUAAAGCAAGGGCUCCUCAGAGACAGGGCUUUAAUCCUCUGCCAGGAGCCAAUGAGCAGAAGCCACCGAGAUCAGGGCCCAGCGCGGGGCUUUGUAGGACGCAGAGCUGCCCCGGCUGUGCGCUGGGGGCGGAGGUGCCCCAGGAGCUCAGGCUGCCCCUCCUCACCUGCCAGAACCGAUCCCCAGCCAUCACCCUCGGAUACAGGUCCUGCCAAGGCUCCCGGCACCCACGCACAGCCGCGGGCCGGGCUGCAGCACAGAGCAGCACUGCUUCCCCCGGGGAACAGACAGAGCCGUCACACAGCACAAGUGGGAAACGUGUUUGUCACUGAGCUGCAGUGACACGAAGCAGUGUCAAAGAGAAAGCAGGUCUGGCUGUUUGCUGCUCCCCGUGGCCGGGUAGGGAUGGCCAAACCACUGCACAGUGUGAAAAAGUGCAGUUCUCUCCGGUGUGGUACGAAUUACCAGUGACCCACCAUACCCCUGUAUGCGAGGGGCCGGCUCACUGUGCAUUCAGAUGCUGUUUCAGGGCACUGGAAAUACAAACGUGAAUGUAAACACCCCUGCUGGGAAUCGGUUUUGUCUGCAUCAUUAUAUAAUUUCCUUGAAUUCUCUUCCUGCUGCAGUACAGUGGCAUGGAGAGAUUACUUCUCAGCAGAACUUGGGUGACAUGAAUCACCCAAGCUGUUCUGAUCUUCCUGUUUUUCCUUGCUGGUACUUACCCAGGAGGACCCAUCAAAAGGAGCCUCUGAAUGAAAAUAUUGCAGAUGAUGUCUAUUAAAAGUUAUGGAUAUUGAUGCAUCUACCAGCAAAGCAUUUGCAGACUAAAUACCGCUGUACUUUACAUUGCAGCCACCUUUCCCGCUUCCCCUCAGUGCUGAUACCAGCUGCUCGGCAGUAGGCUGGUUCUAAAAUUAAAGAAAUUAAAAUCUCCUGAAAUUGCUAUUUGAAAACAGGCAUCGUGUUGUAUUCUGCCUAGCGAUUGGGUGGCUCAGCUUUAACACCUGUUAAGCACGUUGCUCGGAAUGGAAGCCUGUGGUAGAGGCUGGCAGAGCCUGUGCCUAAUGAGAGCAGCUGUAAAAGGAACGUCUGGGCACAUCCCUGCCUGUAAACGUCUGUAACCUCAGCUGGGACAGAAUAAUCCCAUCGUGCACAUCAGGAAAGGAUGCUGAUAGCUGCUGAAGUUCCUGUUGGGUCAGGUCCUUAACCUUCCCUCAGAAGUAACAGGUAGCAGCUUUCCCACCUCCACUUACACCUAUUCCCACGUAAAGUUUAUGAAGACUCACAAAAAAGAAGAGACCUUUUAACUACAAACAGACUUUGAAGUGGCAGCAGUUGCAGCAUCCCACAGCGCAUGCAGUCUGAGCGCUCAUUAACAGCUAACUCUCACGACAAGGCUCAGCUGCCCAUAAGCGCGCCGGGUCCGACCAAGUGCAGCAAUUUAACAAAGGAUGGGGAAUCUUAAGAAUUUCAUUUUAUCUCUGUAAUAGCCAACAGAUGCCAUAAUCACUUCAAAACCAUAUUAUUGAUAUAAUUCAAACAUUUCAACCGUUACAAAGUCAGGUGUCUCCAUAUCACAGAUCAGAGGAAGGCACGCUUUUCCAUAAGCAGCACUGACACGCAGGUCAACAACAUUACUUUUUUACAUAGACUUCACUCAUUCUUAGUUUCCCCGCAGCACCCAAAAGCUGUGUGCACAGCUCAGCAGCUGUCCAUACAACAGCCACAAGUCACCAUUACCAUUACUACAAACUCUGAAGUGCCGCAUCUCAACCCCGACCAAACCCCGCGUUAACUGUACCACCGUGCAUGUGAGUGCCGCUGCUCUAACAGAACAGCAGCAGCGCUGGCUGAGCAGAGGGCUGCCUUCCAUCCCAGCUGUGUUACAGCUGUGCACAGUGGCGUUGUGGCCAUGCCCUGCGUGCAGCCCCUGCUCCUCCAGCCAGGACACAGCACUGCAUUGCUGAUAGCAGCGCCGUGUGGUCCUUCCCGGCCAAAGAAGCACACAUUGAGCGGUUUGUGAGGUCCAGUAAACCAGAGGUUAUCAGUCUGAAACCCUCCUGUGGUACAUUUACCAAUUCCUAACUGGUAGCCUAAAUCAGAUGACAGUUUUCUUGAAAAGACAUCAUGAGACCAUUUAAGGCCUUACUGCUUAAUUCCUCCCGGCAGCCCAUACGUUUGCUUUAGCACACAGGCAGGAAGCCUGCAGUGCCUGCUUCAAGUAACACAUUUAAAGUCAGGGUCGUGAACAAAAAGGGUUAGUCUGGUCUGUAAACAGAGGUGGUCAGGGUUUAACCAAACCAACAGCACUUCCCAGCCCCCCGUGCUACGCUGACAUUCAUGGCUGUGCUGCAUUCCAGUGCCCUGAAGUGUCAGCAGCUCCCACUUAUGCAAUGACAGUGCCUGCAGUCUGGGUGCCCGCAGGCGCCGCUCUGCAGAACCCGGCCCAGGCUGCACCCACCUGCCCAGGAGUGACAGCUCUCCCCCAGCCAGCAAUCACUGCAGCCCAGGGGAGAGCCUGGGGACACAGCGGGCGGCCGCGCUGCAGAGCCGCGUCGUGCAGUGGGCACCGCACUGACAGCAGUGGCUGUUCUGACACAUUCCCAUGGCUGGAGCCUCUAAUUCGGAUUUCUAAGAUGGUCAAUGCGUUUGCAGACAAAGGUUCACAGGACAAGUGCGGAUUCUAAGUAUGAAAGAGAACGCAUUCAAAUUCACCACAUCUUUCUUCUGCUGAAGAUUUAAAUAUUGCGUGGCUUUAGCUUUCUUUCUGUUCACUGAAUAUCAAGGUCAAUUAGGAAUGAUGUCUGGCUAGUACUCUCAGAGCAGAUUAGACAGUUGCAUCAAAAACUAGGACCGUGUAUAGGUCAUCUGUUACUGUGACCUACAUUUCUGAGAAUCUGUUCAAUUUGUUUUAUUCAAAAUGUUGUGCUGUCUCAGCUCUGUUUCUCAUAGUAAACCUAUAACAGUAGAAAAUAGCUUCAUUAGAUACUUACAUAGACACUGCUUACUGCUUCUACUAACACACAAAGAAAAUCAAAUCCAUGCAGCAGACCUGUGCCUGUCAUCCAUUUAAUUUUGAAAUAACUUAAGGUUCUGAAAGGCUUAUGCCUUAUAAUCUAAAGCAUUUGGCCCGCAUGCCAAACACUAAGCAAUCUGAAAUGCAUAAUAGCUUAGCUGCAGCUUUGCUUGCCCUAUUUAAUUCAUUUCUACCUUCAGUAACCAGCGGAUAGAUGCAGUGCUCGGCGUUACACAUUGCAAAUGAAGAACAUACUGCAGUAUGUGAGUGCAGUGGGGCUGUUUCCUUUGUGCCACGUGAGCUCUGGGGAGCCCUUACAGGGCAGUGGGUUUUAUUGCUCUGUCUGAAUGGAGCCAGACUUCUUCCAAAACUUUGUGUUUAGUUGUGUAUAAGGAUUUUGCCAUCUGCAUUUUGACAGUAGUGCUCAGUGUCUGGGAUACCAACCUAUGCUUUCUGGGUUGUCAUUGUGAAACCACAAAGUGUUUGCAAGAGAAAUCUGUCUUGUGGAUGAGAUUCCUCUCUUCUGACAGCUCUGAGUUGUUCCAGUCAGAAGGACCAGGCACUGGGCAAACGUGUGCUGGUGGGAGCACUUGGAAGGGGGAAGGAGAGAAAGUAUCUUAAAACCUGAGAAAAUAGUUUUUAAGUACCAAUGAAUUCAGUGCAAAAGGAAAACUGCAAAAUGACAUAAUAAUUGAACCCUCCAUUCAAACAGUACUCUAACCAGAUUUUAGAACUACCAUCUACAGCCCCUGCAGCUCAUUGCUGUGCUUCGAUAACUGGCACAGAACACCCUUACAUCAGCUGUGCUCUCAUCACAGCCCAGGAGAAAAGGCAGGCAGUGGGAUCAAACAACUGUAGAAGAGAGCACAAAAGGAGAGCUAACAGAUCGAGCUUCUCAGGUGCCCGUGAAGCCAUGGGUGCUGGACUAUGGCCCCACGGCCGUCCGAGCCAGCAGCAGCUGCUGCAGCAGUGCUACACGAGGCAGGCUCAGCAGGGUGCUCACUUCUGCAGCUCAGCAUACGAGAGCCAUUUCCCUUCCCCUCUUCCCCACGCUUUGCGGCACCAGGGCCUUGCAGUGGAGAAGUGGACGUUAAAUGCACAGGCAAGGAGGAGUCCUUAGUCUCAAAAAUAAGGUCUGAGUGGGUUGCAUGGAAACUACGUAGGUCACAGCUUGGAGGAAACAGACUGCUUGCACAUUCCACACUUGUGUGAAAGAUUAUGGGGUAUCCUCUAAAUAACCCUCAGGAUAAUCUCAAAGAUCAGUGGUCUCUAAGAUGUUUUGUUUUUUUUUUCCCUUUGGUGCUUAUCUUGUUUCCCAUCUAUGAUGCUACACAACGUUAUCUUUUAGCAACAGGAAAAAUCUAGCUGGAUCCAUGUGCCCAUGAAUGCUAUAGGAAGCAGUGCACUCGGAAUUACAACUCCCUUUGAUGCUCUGCAUUCAGAGGGACAUUGACUUGUGUCACAUCCUUUGACACACAGACUUUCAAGAGACACCUGAGCCAGGGGUGGGUGGGAUCUGGUGCUGCCAGUGCAGCAGUGGGCACCCAGUGAGGGAAUGGGGACCUGUAAUGCCUUCACAGGAAGGAAAAAUAUAUAGGUGCUUUAUGCACUUAACUGGUAGUUCUUAGAAGUAAAAUCUUUUCAAGAUGUAUGCUAUACAUCCUUUGAGAUAGCAACAUGGAGUUGACCCAGAAGUGCCACGCUUUCUAAGCUGAGCCAAAGAAGUGAUGUUUCAGAGGUGUUUCUUUUGAGAAGAGCUGCAAGUCUACAAGUCUGGCAGAUGAGAACUGCUGGAUUAUACAGCUGAAAAACACAGUCAUCUUCAAAGGACAAGUUAGCAAUGAAUAAGACAUCAUGAUUGCGAAAAGCAAAUUCUUCAUUUGAUCCCUCUCCAUCCGUACUGCUUCCAAAGCAGAUAUUUCUGUGUUUUUCGGCAGUAUCCGUGUGUGAACACAGGGACAUUGCUACAGCCAGGGUGUGGGAUGUGGUGCACCUGGGAGCUGCCCUGCUCAGAAGGGACGUUCCCUUCCCUUCUCUUCCCUUCCCUUUGCAGUGAGGACCACGUGUCAGUCUGCUCUUUCAGGAUUCAAUCACAUAAAGAAAAACUCUUCAGAUCUCUCUUGUGAUUACUUUGCAACACAAAUUUUCUCUGUCAAAUAUGCAUGCAAUUUUUUGCACUUUUCUUCAGUGUCUUGAAGCGUUAAAAUGAUUCCUGGUAAGGUGCACGUAGCAAUGCCCAUAGAGCCAUAGAGCAGGCUUUGUAGCAUGCUGAUGAGAAACAAAGGAGAUAGUCAUUCCACAGACCAGGAUUCUCUUCAACAUUCUGAUCUCCAGCUACAUUUUGCGUUUCAGAAAAAUAUAAGGAUAUCUCCAACCUCACUGCUGAGACUCGUGUAGGAGCAGACGGCAUUUUCUGCCCACCCUACCACAGAAAGCCUGGCCAAGUCCAACUGUUUCCCAUCUGAAAGCAGAAAGUCCAUUCUCCACAGCAGAAGUAGCUUUGGCUAACAGGACUGCCACACUGACAGCUAUGCCAGUAGUUUCUAAGAAUACCAAGAGGAAGAACCCAGGCUGGCCGUGGUGCUUGCACAGAUCAGCUGCCAUCAACAAGAGCGCUCAGCACAGCGGUGCCUUUGGGGGAAGUACAUACCUGAGCUCACCACUGUAAUAACACAGGAGAAAUAUUAUUUCAGUGAUGAAGAAUCACCAGCAUGCUGGAUAUACCAACAGACAGCAGUGUUAUAGCUGCAGAAGCUGCUCACCCAGCAUUGGAUGUGUCAGAGCACAACUGUGGGAAUUUAUUUUUAAUGCGGAGGAAUCUCAGCUAUCCUGACAAUGAAUCCAAUAUUGACAGUAAUCUGCAGACCACAGACGUCAAAGAUGUGGGACAAGAGGAGUUCACAGGGAUGCUGCUGGAGAACCCACACAGAGAAAAGUUCAUUCAUGGUUACUGAGUGUGGAGAGGCUGAGACAGAGAGGGAGCUGAAAGCAUCUGGAAGACAGCAGAUGAUUAGUAGGAAAUAUGCAAGUUUCUCCUGCUAUGUCCUUUUCUACGUGCCCAUUAACCACCACUUAGAUCUGCUUCGUUGUAGCUGAUAGCUGCAAUUCAGCAGAGCUCCCAGCCAUCGCUUGGUUUUGGUUUUGUUUUGAAUUAAACAGAAAAUUUCUUACAUUACAUAAAACAAGAUGAAGAUGCACCAAAUGAAGACAUCCCGGGCUGACAUGGCUUUGUUCCAUGCACACUGCAGGCCCACACUGCUGACAUGCAGCUCACUGCAGACCCACAGCUCUGCUCAGAGCCCCCACCAGCUGCAGGAGCUGCUCCCAGCUCCCGGGGUGGUUGGGUGAGGUCCCUUUGGUCCCUAGGGACGGUUGGGGAAGAGGGAGGCAGAGCUGGCAGUGCUGUGCAGCUGAUCCCAGCACAAAAACAACUUAGGAGACAGAUACUGAGCCGAAGCCUAAUCCAGUGUGAUCGCUCCUAUGUAAGUAGGUCAGCAAGAAAGCCCCCGAACGCAGCGCCUUCCAGCCCAGCAGCGGUUCUCCCUGCAAGCACAUUUGACAGAUACUUCUUUUAGAAGGUAACGUGUUGGGGGGGUUGAUCUUGAGAGCUUGUGUGUUUGCCAUAGGAAGGUAAAGCAAGUUCCAUUUAAGAAGUACAGCUGUUUCAGCCUCUGCUUUGUUUUGCUGCAGCAUCAUCUCUCUGCAGUUCAAAAGAAGCUUUUCACUCUUCCAUGCUCUGUCGCAACAAAAGCUCACACUGAUUCUGUGAAGCCAAAACAUUUUCCCCUACUUAGCCCAGGCUCGAGGCUCUGUGGUGUGGGUGAGGGUACCAGCAGACAGCUCAGAACUCGCUGCCUUUCAUCAGUGUGCUUCAGAGAACUUUAUUCUAUCUGCAAUUUUCAUAUGCAUACCCCUGGUUUGAUCAACUUGAUGCUGACCCCGAGCUAAACAGAGACUGGCAAUAAUCUUGAUUAUCUCCUUCACUCUCUACACUUUUUAGGAACCCUUUCAGUUCAGUGAUCUCUGCAGCAUAGCCCACACUCAUCAGGACAAAGUACCAUUUCAGCAGUUAGAGGAGAACUAAAUGCAGAUGCAGCAGCCUCUGUCCCUGUAAUACCUCACUGAAGUUAGAUUGCACACACACGGCAGUCACUGACCUGCCACAGCAAGUACUGCUUCUUACAGUAGAGUCCUUGGUGCCAGAACAGUCAGUGGUCCUUGUUCCCAAACAUGAAACUUUGCAUUUGACUGUACCAAAACAUUCAUUUCUGCUAUGUUUAUCUAGAGAUACGGAGUUGUGUUUGUAUCUAUCCUUCAUUUUUCCAUUUAAAACAAGAGAACAAAAACCUGUGACAGCUGAAACAGCGUUUCUCCCAGGUCUGCAGAGCAGUGCUUUACAACACAGCCGUCACUCUUCAGACUGCAUCAACUUGGUCAGGUUCCCAUUUAGAGUUACGCUGAGACCUCCCCAUUUGUCAGUUUUUAAUCCUUUUAACAUUUGCCACAGCAGAUUUCUAUCAUCCCAGUUUAAGAUGUCAUACUUUAAGUCCAACACCUUGUGCAGGUCCGGGGUUACGCCGCAUCCACCAGCACAUCUGUCAGCUCAAAAUGGGAUCACAAUAACUUGUGAAAUCCUCUGUAAAUCAUUGGAAACAGUUAUCAGUUCCAUUUCCCUGGAGACCCAGAAGAGCUCCGUGUUUAUUUUCUCUGGGAUAACAUUGUAGCAUUACAAUCCCAAAGGGCAAAUGGUGGCGAUCGGUGCCUUUGUGCCCUGAUCUCACCUUGUCCCAAGAUGUAUCCAGCAGCCCUCCAGUGAGCUUUGGGGCAGAGUGAAGAAACAGAAGCAUCAGUGCUAAACGUGAAAGCUGUUUGGCGGCGGCAUUGCUGCUUACACGCUCAUGUCUACAACAAGAACAUUUUCAUGGCACAGCUAAAGCUUGCUCUGGAACAAAGCAAAUGUGUUUGUGUCCAACCUUCCCACUGCUGCCAUGCGCCCACACACACCGCUGUGCACGGAGCACUCGGCGUGAUGCCAUGACCACGUGGAAGGUCGGGGGGCACAAAGGGAGGAAGGUGUGAACUGAGGAAAAAGCCUCUCACAGCGUAGUGUGCAAAUACUGACAUGUUGUGCUUGGUGUGUUCGUGCUUUCCCUGCUGUACGCUCCCAUGGCUCCCGUGGUCACCGCGCAGCACUGCGAGCAUUGCUGCUCCGGGCUGAUCGCUGCUUGUUAGCAAUGCAACUUCACUUUGCUGCUUUUUUCUCCACCAGCUCCUACUCAGAAAAGAUUGCAGGAACAAGGUGAGACUAAUUUGCAGAGAGUUCUUUUCAUUUUCAGGAUCAGUUGAUGCUUAACGGCACCAUUAAAAUCAGUCCAUGUAAGCAGUGACUCCAAGCUGUAUCCCGGGAACACGCUCAGCUCUCACAUGAACACACAGCUUGCUCGGUUUAGGACAACUGGUUGGCUUUAAGUACUUUCACAGGCAACACACAGGCUGUUAAGGUAUAUUCACAGAGAACACUCUCGGCCCCACGAUGAGGGAAACACUGAAUUGAAAUCAAGUCUGCAGAAUUGAAGAGUGAAAGGAUUCCUGCUAACUUUGUGAGCUCUGCUGCACUCCCUGCAGUUGUUUCAGGAAUAGCAGCGGAUUCCGCUUCUAAAAAUAAGCUGCAAAUAGCUCCUCUCUGAAACCACACAAACCAGGUGGAAAAAAGUGAAGAUGAUUGGAUACUGUAUAGAAACCUGAAGAGAGUAAACCCCAAAUUACAGGGCUGGGAGCAUCACCCCUGCUGCAGCCAGCACAGAAAACGUUUCAGCAUCAGGUGAAUCCACUGGGAAUCACAUGGCUGAGCAGCAGCCUGGCCAGCUCCCACCCCACCGCUCUGCCUUUGGAGGGUGACCCGAGCUUUGGGCUCCAAAAUGUUUUAGAAACCUCAGAGCAGCUAUUGACAAUACAUACAUCCACAGGAAGAAAAGCUCUUUCACAACUGCCAUUCAGACAUAUUCAAAGCUGUUUUAAGAAGGGCUAAGUCAAGUUCACAUUGAUAACAGUAUAGUUCUACUUCUGCUAUUCAUUAGUCCUCACGGUUCCAUUUUGUAAUUAAAAUACUCGCAGCAGUUUAAGACUUUGCAAUAAAGAAUGUGCAGCCCUCA